rnacentral:rRNA from 1 species
GGAGGAAUACCGGUGGCGAAGGCGGCCCCCUGGACAAAGACUGACGCUCAGGUGCGAAAGCGUGGGGAGCAAACAGGAUUAGAUACCCUGGUAGUCCACGCUGUAAACGAUGUCGAUUUAGAGGUUGUGGUCUUGAACCGUGGCUUCUGGAGCUAACGCGUUAAAUCGACCGCCUGGGGAGUACGGCCGCAAGGUUAAAACUCAAAUGAAUUGACGGGGGCCCGCACAAGCGGUGGAGCAUGUGGUUUAAUUCGAUGCAACGCGAAGAACCUUACCUACUCUUGACAUCCAGCGAAUCCUUUAGAGAUAGAGGAGUGCCUUCGGGAACGCUGAGACAGGUGCUGCAUGGCUGUCGUCAGCUCGUGUUGUGAAAUGUUGGGUUAAGUCCCGCAACGAGCGCAACCCUUAUCCUUUGUUGCCAGCACGUAAUGGUGGGA